GUACCCGCUGAACUUAAGCAUAUCAAUAAGCGGAGGAAAAGAAACCAACAGGGAUUGCCCCAGUAACGGCGAGUGAAGCGGCAACAGCUCAAAUUUGAAAUCUGGCUUCGGCCCGAGUUGUAAUUUGCAGAGGAUGUAUUUGGCGCGGUGCCUUCCGAGUUCCCUGGAACGGGACGCCAUAGAGGGUGAGAGCCCCGUCUGGUUGGACACCAAGCCUGUGUAAUACUCCUUCGACGAGUCGAGUAGUUUGGGAAUGCUGCUCUAAAUGGGAGGUAAAUCUCUUCUAAAGCUAAAUACCGGCCAGAGACCGAUAGCGCACAAGUAGAGUGAUCGAAAGAUGAAAAGCACCUUGAAAAGGGGGUUAAACAGUACGUGAAAUUGUUGAAAGGGAAGCGUUUAUGACCAGACUUGUGCCGUGUGGCUCAUCCGGGGUUCUCCCCGGUGCACUCCAUACGGUUCAGGCCAACAUCGGUUCUCGUUGGGGGAUAAGAACAGUAGGAACGUGGCCCUCUUCGGAGGGUGUUAUAGCCUAUUGUACGAUACCUUGAUGGGGACCGAGGACCGCGCUUCGGCUAGGAUGUUGGCGUAAUGGUCAUUAGCGACCCGUCUUGAAACACGG
rnacentral:rRNA from 1 species